rnacentral:rRNA from 1 species
UACGUAGGGGGCAAGCGUUGUCCGGAAUCAUUGGGCGUAAAGGGCGCGUAGGUGGCCCGGUCAGUCUUUGGUGAAAGCGCGGGGCUCAACCCUGCGUCGGCCAGGGAUACUGCCGCGGCUGGAGCACUGUAGAGGCAGGCGGAAUUCCGGGUGUAGCGGUGGAAUGCGUAGAGAUCCGGAAGAACACCGGUGGCGAAGGCGGCCUGCUGGGCAGUUGCUGACACUGAGGCGCGACAGCGUGGGGAGCAAACAGG